rnacentral:rRNA from 1 species
UACGUAGGGUGCAAGCGUUAAUCGGAAUUACUGGGCGUAAAGCGUGCGCAGGCGGUUUUGUAAGACAGAUGUGAAAUCCCCGGGCUUAACCUGGGAAUUGCAUUUGUGACUGCAAGGCUGGAGUGCGGCAGAGGGGGAUGGAAUUCCGCGUGUAGCAGUGAAAUGCGUAGAGAUCGUAAGGAAGGCCAGUGGCGAAGGCGAGUUCCUGGACAGUUACUGACGCUGAGGCACGAAGGCCAGGGGAGCAAACGGG